UACGUAGGGUGCGAGCGUUGUCCGGAAUUAUUGGGCGUAAAGAGCUCGUAGGCGGUUUGUCACGUCUGCUGUGAAAUCCCGAGGCUCAACCUCGGGCCUGCAGUGGGUACGGGCAGACUGGAGUGCGGUAGGGGAGAAUGGAAUUCCUGGUGUAGCGGUGGAAUGCGCAGAUAUCAGGAGGAACACCAAUAGCGAAGGCAGCUCGCUGGGACGUCACUGACGCUGAGGCGCGAAAGCGUGGGGAGCGAACAGG
rnacentral:rRNA from 1 species